UUCUGGCUCAGGAUGAACGCUAGCUACAGGCUUAACACAUGCAAGUCGAGGGGCAGCGAGAGGAAAGCUUGCUUCCUUGUCGGCGACCGGCGCACGGGUGAGUAACGCGUAUCCAACCUUCCCCUUAGUAGGGCAUAGCCCGUAGAAAUGCGGAUUAAUACCCUAUGUUUUCCGAUGAGGACAUCUGAGCUGGAACAAAGGUUUACCGCUAAGGGAUGGGGAUGCGUCUGAUUAGGCAGCAGGCGGGGUAACGGCCCACCUGGCCGACGAUCAGUAGGGGUUCUGAGAGGAAGGUCCCCCACAUUGGAACUGAGACACGGUCCAAACUCCUACGGGAGGCAGCAGUGAGGAAUAUUGGUCAAUGGGCGCGAGCCUGAACCAGCCAAGUAGCGUGCAGGAUGACGGCCCUAUGGGUUGUAAACUGCUUUUAUAGUAGAAGAAACACAUCUACGCGUAGAUGUCUGCCAGUAUACUAUGAAUAAGCAUCGGCUAACUCCGUGCCAGCCGCGGC
rnacentral:rRNA from 1 species